UGUCAAGCGUUGAGCGUCGUUUUGGCGAGCGGAUUUCUUUUGCCUUUUGAAAGGUGAGAGACAUG
rfam:Rhizobium oryzae strain 1.7048 C446, whole genome shotgun sequence.